GGAUGCGAUCAUACCAGCAAUAACGCACCGGAUCCCAUCAGAACUCCGAAGUUAAGCGUGCUUGGGCGAGAGUAGUACUAGGAUGGGUGACCCCCCGGGAAGUCCUCGUGUUGCAUCCC
rnacentral:rRNA from 1 species